rnacentral:rRNA from 1 species
UGGUGGCGAGUGGCGAACGGGUGAGUAAUACAUCGGAACAUGUCCUGUAGUGGGGGAUAGCCCGGCGAAAGCCGGAUUAAUACCGCAUACGAUCUGAGGAUGAAAGCGGGGGACCUUCGGGCCUCGCGCUAUAGGGUUGGCCGAUGGCUGAUUAGCUAGUUGGUGGGGUAAAGGCCUACCAAGGCGACGAUCAGUAGCUGGUCUGAGAGGACGACCAGCCACACUGGGACUGAGACACGGCCCAGACUCCUACGGGAGGCAGCAGUGGGGAAUUUUGGACAAUGGGCGCAAGCCUGAUCCAGCAAUGCCGCGUGUGUGAAGAAGGCCUUCGGGUUGUAAAGCACUUUUGUCCGGAAAGAAAUCAUUCUGGCUAAUACCCGGAGUGGAUGACGGUACCGGAAGAAUAAGCACCGGCUAACUACGUGCCAGCAGCCGCGGUAAUACGUAGGGUGCGAGCGUUAAUCGGAAUUACUGGGCGUAAAGCGUGCGCAGGCGGUUUGCUAAGACCGAUGUGAAAUCCCCGGGCUCAACCUGGGAACUGCAUUGGUGACUGGCAGGCUAGAGUAUGGCAGAGGGGGGUAGAAUUCCACGUGUAGCAGUGAAAUGCGUAGAGAUGUGGAGGAAUACCGAUGGCGAAGGCAGCCCCCUGGGCCAAUACUGACGCUCAUGCACGAAAGCGUGGGGAGCAAACAGGAUUAGAUAC